CCUACGGGGGGCAGCAGUGAGGAAUAUUGGUCAAUGGACGGAAGUCUGAACCAGCCAUGCCGCGUGCAGGAAGACGGCUCUAUGAGUUGUAAACUGCUUUUGUACAAGGGUAAACCUGAAUACGUGUAUUCAGCUGAAAGUACUUUACGAAUAAGGAUCGGCUAACUCCGUGCCAGCAGCCGCGGUAAUACGGAGGAUCCAAGCGUUAUCCGGAUUUAUUGGGUUUAAAGGGUGCGUAGGCGGAUUGAUAAGUUAGAGGUGAAAUGUCCGAGCUUAACUCGGGAACUGCCUCUAAUACUGUUGGUCUAGAGAGUAGAUGCGGUAGGCGGAAUGUAUGGUGUAGCGGUGAAAUGCUUAGAGAUCAUACAGAACACCGAUUGCGAAGGCAGCUUACCAAUCUAUAUCUGACGUUGAGGCACGAAAGCGUGGGGAGCAAACAGGAUUAGAUACCCGAGUAGUC
rnacentral:rRNA from 1 species